GGGACGGUGCCAGAGUGGUCGAAUGGAGCAGACUGUAAAUCUGACGGCUAAAACCCGCGAAGGUUCGAAUCCUUCCUGUCCCACCA
rnacentral:tRNA from 1 species